rnacentral:rRNA from 1 species
GUGGGGAAUCUUCCGCAAUGGACGAAAGUCUGACGGAGCAACGCCGCGUGAGUGAAGAAGGUUUUCGGAUCGUAAAGCUCUUUCGUUAGGGACGAACGUGCUCUUUGUGAAUAAUGAGGAGUAAUGACGGUACCUAAAUAAGAAGCCACGGCUAACUACGUGCCAGCAGCCGCGGUAAUACGUAGGUGGCAAGCGUUGUCCGGAAUUAUUGGGCGUAAAGCGCGCGCAGGCGGGAUAUCAAGUCUGUCUUAAAAGUGCGAGGCUCAACCUCGUGAGGGGACAGAAACUGGUAUUCUUGAGUGUCGGAGAGGAAAGUGGAAUUCCAAGUGUAGCGGUGAAAUGCGUAGAGAUUUGGAAGAACACCAGUGGCGAAGGCGACUUUCUGGACGAUGUCUGACGCUGAGGCGCGAAAGCUAGGGGAGCGAACGGGAUUAGAAAUCCCGGUAGUCC